rnacentral:rRNA from 1 species
UCAACGGCCGCGGUACCCUAACCGUGCGAAGGUAGCAUAAUCACUUGUUCUUUAAAUAGGGACUUGUAUCAACGGCACUACGAGGGUUAUACUGUCUCCUCUUUCCAAUCAGUGAAACUGAUCUCCCCGUGAAGAAGCGGGGAUUAUCAUAUAAGACGAGAAGACCCCAUGGAGCUUUAAACUCACCAUACACCUCUAUGUUACCAUAUCCCAUAGCACAAGAGACCUGUAUGUUAGUUUUAGGUUGGGGGGACCACGGAGCACAACUUAACCUCCAUAACAAAUGGGCUAACACCCUUAUCCACGAGACACAACUCUAAGAAUUACUAAACUAAUGCUUAUGACCCGAUAUUCGAUCAAUGAACCAAGUUACCCUGGGGAUAACAGCGCAAUCUACUUCAAGAGCUCAUAUCGACAAGUAGGUUUACGACCUCGAUGUUGGAUCAGGGUAUCCCGG